AUGCAAGUCGAACGAAGUAGCAAUACUUAGUGGCAGACGGGUGAGUAACAUGUGGGUAUCUUCCCUAUGGCCUGGAAUAACACGAGGAAACUUGUGCUAAUACCGGAUAAGUCUUUACGGAGAAAGCUUUAUGCACCAUUGGAUGAGCCCGCACUUGAUUAGUUUGUUGGUAGGGUAAUGGCCUACCAAGACUUUGAUCAAUAGCUGAUUUGAGAGGAUGAUCAGCCACAUUGGGACUGAGACACGGCCCAAACUCCUACGGGAGGCAGCAGUGGGGAAUCUUGCACAAUGGAGGAAACUCUGAUGCAGCGAUGCCGCGUGAGUGAAGAAGGCCUUUGGGUUGUAAAGCUCUUUCGUCGGGGAAGAAAAUGACUGUACCCGAAUAAGAAGGUCCGGCUAACUUCGUGCCAGCAGCCGCGGUAAUACGAAGGGACCUAGCGUAGUUCGGAAUUACUGGGCUUAAAGAGUUCGUAGGUGGUUGAAAAAGUUGGUGGUGAAAUCCCAGAGCUUAACUCUGGAACUGCCAUCAAAACUUUUCAGCUAGAGUAUGAUAGAGGAAAGCAGAAUUUCUAGUGUAGAGGUGAAAUUCGUAGAUAUUAGAAAGAAUACCAAUUGCGAAGGCAGCUUUCUGGAUCAUUACUGACACUGAGGAACGAAAGCAUGGGUAGCGAAGAGGAUUAGAUACCCUCGUAGUCCAUGCCGUAAACGAUGUGUGUUAGACGUUGGAAAUUUAUUUUCAGUGUCGCAGCGAAAGCAAUAAACACACCGCCUGGGGAGUACGACCGCAAGGUUAAAACUCAAAUGAAUUGACGGGGACCCGCACAAGUAGUGGAGCAUGUGGUUUAAUUCGAAGAUACGCGCAGAACCUUACCAACACUUGACAUGUUCGUCGCGACUUUAAGAGA
rnacentral:rRNA from 1 species